CUUAGCCACGAGUGAUCCCUACAGAUAGUGCGAUACCACUCUCGUCGUAGGGUACACCGUCAUCCAUUAAGAGUGAUUCUCUUACAUCUUUUUAGACCAGAUAAGGAAGGGAGAAACAGAUAUCCCAAAGGGCAAGGAGAACAUAUCCCUAUCAGAGAUAAAAACUCUAAUGAGACACUUGAUACAAUACGUAUAUCAAUACAGAUACACUUUAGACCAUACAGGCUUUAUUCCACUUUUCUCUCUUUUUUUCUUUUAUACUUUUUAUUUUUAUUAAUUACAUAUUAUUUUAUUAUAUACAAUUCAUCAAGUGUUUGCAAUUCACAUAGUAUGCUUGAAAAUAAGAACAAUUCGACUCAUCUGAAUACAAUACUAGACUACUAUCUCUCUCCCUCUAAAUCUUGAAAAAUGAAAGAAUGAAAGUGUGGAGAGGAAGGAAAGGGAAAAGGUAAUUUAUAGAGUUUUAAAAUCGUCGAGUUCGCGCCAAGUGGCAAAAUUCGGUGAAGAGAGAGGAGAAAAAGAUGUUUGGCAUAAAAAACAAGGGAGGAGGGCCUCCUCAAUUGUGGACUGCGGGGCACUGCCUGAGGUGGCAGUGCCCC
rnacentral:lncRNA from 1 species